rnacentral:lncRNA from 1 species
AGAGAGCCAGCAAGAAGACACCUACCCUGGCAGAAAGACACGUACCCGUGAAGAUAGAGAAAGAGGCCAUCCAGCAGGUGUGAUGCAAGGAAAACAAAGCUAAUACCCAAAGUCUUUGAAUAAAGUAACCUUAAUACUGGAAGAGCAAGAAUUCUUACAGUUGAGAACCGUUACUUGACUGGUACCUCCAGCCCACCAGCAGGCAAUGAUGGCAUCAGACUAGAGGAUCACCAGUAAAUCAUUGUAAACAUCUGAAUAUGAGUCAGUCUGGUAUGAACAUACCUCUAACAGCCUCACAUACACACUUGCUGAUCUCCCCCUUACAAGAAACAGAAAACAGGUCUUAACCCAGAGCCUUCAACAAACAGUAUCUAGGUAAAUCAUCACAAUUUUAAUCACAGUUGUUAUCUUCUAUUUAUGACAUUUUUCUUGUCUGUAUGAUCAAAGUUGGGUCCUGGACACAACCAUAUAAUAUCUUGCAGAGCGUGGAAAGAGAGAAAGUCCACUUUAAGCGAUGGAAAAUAAGCCCCAAUUCUGAAGGAACAACCAUGAACAGAUGAUUUAAGGAGAAUCAAUUCUUUGCUCUUUGCGGGAGCAGCCAACAGAGUGAGAUGAAGGGGACAACUUCAGAUACUCAGGCAGAAGGUAGGCUACAGUGAUAAUUCUGCAGGUUCUUGCAGGACUUCACAUAUUGUCUAUCACAGCAUAUUGCAAACAGGUUCCCAGGAAGCAGAUUCUGAGUUGGUGAUUUGCAUGCAGGAAGUUUACGGAGAAUUGUUUCUGAAAUCAUCUCCUGUGGGGAAAUGAAGACAGCAGGACUGGGCAAAAGGAAACAUUGAACUGGGAUGAGAUCACAAAGAAGGCAUCAGGGAAGGCUGGAGCCAGAUUGGGACUUCAGAGUUGUCCCACAUUGAAGAAGAGAAGCUUGGUUUUUAAAUUCACACUCUCUCCCCAACCAGGACAAGUUAUGCAGGUGGUCCCCCAGAAGAAACUGUGACUUUGGAGUUGGUGGCGUUUUUCAGCAAAUGGCAAUUCCCAAAAAGGGAUCCAGCUGCAUGCAGUUGCUGUCAAUGCUCUCAGCAGCUGAGGGAAUGAGUGCCUGCGUCAUGGAGAGGAAUGCAGGUGGUACACCCCGACACUCACUACACUGUCAAGCACAAGAGGGCAUUUCUAGCAACUCAGUUGGAAACGCUCUCAAUGAUGUUUAACAAAAGGAUAGAAUUACUUAUGGUGGCAGAAUAAUGGCCCCUGAAGUUAUCUAUGCUGUGAUUCCCAAAGCCUGUGACUAUGUUACAUUACAUGGCAAAAGGCCUUUGCAGAUGUGAUUAAGGUUAAGGACCUUGAGAUGGGUUGAUUAUCCUGGAUUAUAGAGGUAGGUCCAAUGUAAUCACAUAAAUCCUUGAAAGUGGAGGACCUAUCCAGGCUUCAAAGAACCAGAGAGAUUUCAAUGUGGGAAGGACUCACCUAGCUGUUGCUGACUAUGAAGGUGGAGGAAGGGGAGCCAUGAGGCAAGGAAUACAGGCAGCCUCUAGAAACUGGAAAAGGCUAAGAACUGGAUUCUCCCCUAGAGCCUUCAGAAAGGAAUGCAGCCUUCAACUUAACCCUAGUGAGACCCAUCCUGGACUUCUGUCCAUAGAAUUAAAAGACAACAAAUGCAUAUUAUUUCAGCCAUUAAGUUUAUGGUAAUUUGUUGCAGCAGUCACAGUAAACUAAUACACUGCCUGUCCAAAUAGUGAACUUGGCUCCAUGCAUUGAUGGAGAAGAAAGACACCCGAGGGCUCCAUUCUGCAGGAUGAAUCUGCAGGGAUCUCCUUGCCAGCUAUGGAAGUCAGUAUGACAGCUUCAGCUACCUACAGUCCACUUGCCAGAAGAUUUAGUUUUGAUAGAGUGUCUGUGUUUUUUGAUAGGAAAAAAGCAGAGUUCUCUAUGACCAUGUUGGAGAAGCACCGAACCCAACUUUAGAUGGUCAGGGAAGAAUUCCCCUAAGAAACAGCACUGAAACUGAGACUUGAAGAAUGCAUAGAAAUUAUCUAGACAAAAAGAGUAAUGGCAAAGACUGUUCCAAGCAAAUGGAAUGUGGACAACUGCAGAGGCAACAGUAAUAAUCACUAAUAUUUACAAUAUUUAUUAAGUAUUUACAAUAUGUUAGGCCCUGUGCUAAGUGCUGUACACACACGGUCUUGUUUCAUCCUCACAACAACCUGAUGAGGUAUGCACUACUAUUGAUUCCAUUUUCCAGAUAGGAAAGCUGAGGAACAGUGAGUUUGUACAUCUUGCCCAACAUGACACAGCUUGUAAGCAGUUGAGUAUAGAACUGAACCCAAGCAUUCUGGCUCUAGAAUCCUCUUGCUUAACUGUUCUUCUGCACUACCUCUUACUGAGUCUCAAGCAAGAGAUCCAAUGGCUCAUCCAAGGAACUGAAGUAAAUUCCAGGUGCUUGGAGCUGAGACAAGUGGGGGCAGGGAAUUAGAUUCAGCAAUAGCAAGAGAUGAUGCAAAAAUAAGUCCCCACCUGCUGACCUGCUGCCUGCUAUCUUAACACGAAUUCUUCAUCUGAAUGGAUGAGCUUUUCACAGGUUCCAAACUAAGGAAUCCAGGAGUGGCCAAUCCAGAGAUUCAUUCCUUAUCUUUGACGAACAUCUGAACUCCUGGCUCAUCCUGUGGAAUUCAGGCCAUACAGGAGAUCAAGCACUUAGCAUGAUACCUGGCACACGGCCUCCAUUGAGCAGUUACAGAAUUAUUUAUGGCAUUGUCUACCUAAAAGCAUCAACCUAAAUCCUAAAGAUGAGAGGAAAAUCAAGCAAGAAGAGAUAGAAACUGUCUUUGCCUGUCUAUUUGGAGUCCUUCCGUUAUCGGUUCCGGUGCUCUGACCUCUCAUUUAUUACAUUUUUUCCAAUAAGAAAGCACAGAAAUGAAGAAAUAAAAGUGCUCUCAAUGGAAAUAUUUUACAAGAAGAAAACCUUAGUUUGGUUCUCUUUGCCAUACAUUGAAUAGCCACUAUCUUCCUGUCACUCAUCU